GACGAACGCUGGCGGCGUGCUUAACACAUGCAAGUCGAACGAAGAGCGAUGGAAGCUUGCUUCUAUCAAUCUUAGUGGCGAACGGGUGAGUAACGCGUAAUCAACCUGCCCUUCAGAGGGGGACAACAGUUGGAAACGACUGCUAAUACCGCAUACGAUCUAACCUCGGCAUCGAGGAUAGAUGAAAGGUGGCCUCUAUUUAUAAGCUAUCACUGAAGGAGGGGAUUGCGUCUGAUUAGCUAGUUGGAGGGGUAACGGCCCACCAAGGCGAUGAUCAGUAGCCGGUCUGAGAGGAUGAACGGCCACAUUGGGACUGAGACACGGCCCAGACUCCUACGGGAGGCAGCAGCGGGGAAUCUUCCGCAAUGGACGAAAGUCUGACGGAGCAACGCCGCGUGAGUGAUGACGGCCUUCGGCUUGUAAAGCUCUGUUAAUCGGGACGAAAGGCCUUCUUGCGAAUAGUUAGAAGGAUUGACGGUACCGGAAUAGAAAGCCACGGCUAACUACGUGCCAGCAGCCGCGGUAAUACGUAGGUGGCAAGCGUUGUCCGGAAUUAUUGGGCGUAAAGCGCGCGCAGGCGGAUUGGUCAGUCUGUCUUAAAAGUUCGGGGCUUAACCCCGUGAUGGGAUGGAAACUGCCAAUCUAGAGUAUCGGAGAGGAAUGUGGAAUUCCUAGUGUAGCGGUGAAAUGCGUAGAUAUUAGGAAGAACACCAGUGGCGAAGGCGACUUUCUGGACGAAAACUGACGCUGAGGCGCGAAAGCCAGGGGAGCGAACGGGAUUAGAUACCCAGGUAGUCCUGGCCGU
rnacentral:rRNA from 1 species